rnacentral:tRNA from 2 species
GCCUGUAGCUCAGCCGGAUAGGGCAGUUGCCUUCCCCGCAGCAAAUCGGAGGGUGAGUCCCUCCGGUCAGGCU